UCUAAGUUUGAUGGCGACCGGCGCACGGGUGAGUAACACGUAUCCAACCUGCCGAUGACUCGGGGAUAGCCUUUCGAAAGAAAGAUUAAUACCCGAUGGCAUAGUUCUUCCGCAUGGUAGAACUAUUAAAGAAUUUCGGUCAUCGAUGGGGAUGCGUUCCAUUAGGUUGUUGGCGGGGUAACGGCCCACCAAGCCCUCGAUGGAUAGGGGUUCUGAGAGGAAGGUCCCCCACAUUGGAACUGAGACACGGUCCAAACUCCUACGGGAGGCAGCAUG
rnacentral:rRNA from 1 species